CUUACGACUCUCGGCAAUGGAUAUCUCGGCUCUCGCAUCGAUGAAGAACGUAGCGAAAUGCGAUACUUAGUGUGAAUUGCAGAAUCCCGUGAAUCAUCGAGUCUUUGAACGCAAGUUGCGCCCGAAGCCUNGGCCAAGGGCACGUCUGCCUGGGCGUCGCAA
rnacentral:rRNA from 1 species